rnacentral:rRNA from 1 species
CCUACGGGAGGCAGCAGUGAGGAAUAUUGGUCAAUGGGCGUGCGCCUGAACCAGCCAAGUCGCGUGAGGGAGGACGGCCCUACGGGUUGUAAACCUCUUUUGCCGGGGAGCAACGGGCGUCACGUGUGGCGCCACUGAGAGUACCCGGAGAAAAAGCAUCGGCUAACUCCGUGCCAGCAGCCGCGGUAAUACGGAGGAUGCGAGCGUUAUCCGGAUUUAUUGGGUUUAAAGGGUGCGUAGGCGGAACGCUAAGUCAGCGGUAAAAUUGAGGGGCUCAACCCCUUCCCGCCAUUGAAACUGGCGCUCUUGAGUGGAAGAGAAGUAUGCGGAAUGCGUGGUGUAGCGGUGAAAUGCAUAGAUAUCACGCAGAACCCCGAUUGCGAAGGCAGCAUGCCGGCUUCCGACUGACGCUGAAGCACGAAAGCGUGGGGAUCGAACAGGAUUAGAUACCCGGGUAGUC